rnacentral:rRNA from 1 species
UACGGAGGAUGCAAGCGUUAUCCGGAAUGAUUGGGCGUAAAGCGUCCGCAGGUGGCUGUGUAAGUCUGCUGUCAAAGAGCAAAGCUCAACUUUGUAAAGGCGGUGGAAACUACACGGCUAGAGUGCGUUCGGGGCAGAGGAAAUUCCUGGUGUAGCGGUGAAAUGCGUAGAGAUCAGGAAGAACACCGGUGGCGAAGGCGCUCUGCUAGGCCGCAACUGACACUGAGGGACGAAAGCUAGGGGUGCGAAUGGG